UACGUAGGGUACGAGCAUUAAUCGGAAUUAUUGGGCGUAAAGGGCGCGUAGGCGGGAGCAUAAGUCAGAUGUGAAAUACCAAAGCUCAACUUUGGUGCUGCAUUUGAAACUGUGUUCCUUGAGGAUUGACGGAGAAAGCGGAAUUCCACGAGUAGCGGUGAAAUGCGUAGAUACGUGGAGGAACACCGGUGGCGAAAGCGGCUUCUAGUUUUUACCUGACGCUGAGGCGCGAGAGCAAGGGGAGCAAACAGG
rnacentral:rRNA from 1 species